UGCUGGACGUCGUCGAAGGAUAUCUAAUUGAGUGCAAUAACAUGUCCAAACGACCAAUGACCAUGGUACUAUGCAGAUAUAACAUUGAACAUCUAUCACGGAUCUGUCGUGUUUGAAACAAUCCAGAGGACAUUCGCUCCUGGUGGGUACACCUGGAAGUGGUAAAAGAUCUCUGGCUAGACUUGCAGCUCAUAUCAACGAUUUUGAAAUGAUACAAAUUGAGAUGCUGAAGAAGUACUCAGUAGAAGAUUGGAAGCAGGAUGUUAAAAAAAUCAUGCAGAA